rnacentral:rRNA from 1 species
CGUGCUACAAUGGCAUAUACAAUGAGACGCAAUACCGCGAGGUGGAGCAAAUCUAUAAAAUAUGUCCCAGUUCGGAUUGUUCUCUGCAACUCGAGAGCAUGAAGCCGGAAUCGCUAGUAAUCGUAGAUCAGCCAUGCUACGGUGAAUACGUUCCCGGGUCUUGUACUCACCGCCCGUCACACCAUGGGAGUUGAUUUCACUCGAAGCCGGAAUACUAAACUAGUUACCGUCCACAGUGGAAUCAGCGACUGGGGUGAAGUCGUAACAAGGUAACCGUAGGAGAACCUGCGGUUGGAUCACCUCCUUU